UGCUCACCCGGGCAAUUCUUGCUUCCUCCCCUUUCUGAUGGAGUUACAGAUGUACAGAGGGAAUUCCAGACUCAGUGUCCAUGGAAAUAACCCGUCACAUCAUAGAAGAUGAAAGACAUACCAGGUUCUCUGGAAAGAAGUGCUAAAUCCUACAGACAAGGCUGAAUCUUACUGGCCUGUCAGCACUGUCUACCUUUGACAGAAUUAUAAGGUACCUACACUUAAAAAAUGAAUCGAGAGGAAGAAAACAUUUGAAUGCACUCAGUUA